AGAUGCGAUCAUACCAGCACUAAAGCACCGGAUCCCAUCAGAACUCCGAAGUUAAGUGUGCUUGGGCGAGAGUAGUACUAGGAUGGGUGACCUCCUGGGAAGUCCUCGUGUUGCAUUCC
rnacentral:rRNA from 1 species